rnacentral:rRNA from 1 species
GAUGAACGCUGGCGGCGUGCCUAAUACAUGCAAGUCGAGCGAACGGACGAGAAGAUUGCUUCUCUGAUGUUAGCGGCGGACGGGUGGGUAACACGUGGAUAACCUACCUAUAAGACUGGGAUAACUUCGGGAAACCGGAGCUAAUACCGGAUAAUAUUUUGAACCGCAUGGUUCAAAAGUGAAAGACGGUCUUGCUGUCACUUAUAGAUGGAUCCGCGCUGCAUUAGCUAGUUGGUAAGGUAACGGCUUACCAAGGCAACGAUGCAUAGCCGACCUGAGAGGGUGAUCGGCCACACUGGAACUGAGACACGGUCCAGACUCCUACGGGAGGCAGCAGUAGGGAAUCUUCCGCAAUGGGCGAAAGCCUGACGGAGCAACGCCGCGUGAGUGAUGAAGGUCUUCGGAUCGUAAAACUCUGUUAUUAGGGAAGAACAUAUGUGUAAGUAACUGUGCACAUCUUGACGGUACCUAAUCAGAAAGCCACGGCUAACUACGUG